AUUGAACGCUGGCGGCAGGCUUAACACAUGCAAGUCGAGCGGGGAUAGGGUGCUUGCACCUGAAUCCUAGCGGCGGACGGGUGAGUAAUACUUAGGAAUCUGCCUAUUAGUGGGGGAUAACGGCUCGAAAGGGUCGCUAAUACCGCAUACGUCCUACGGGAGAAAGCAGGGGAUCACUUGUGACCUUGCGCUAAUAGAUGAGCCUAAGUCGGAUUAGCUAGUUGGUGGGGUAAAGGCCUACCAAGGCGACGAUCUGUAGCGGGUCUGAGAGGAUGAUCCGCCACACUGGGACUGAGACACGGCCCAGACUCCUACGGGAGGCAGCAGUGGGGAAUAUUGGACAAUGGGGGGAACCCUGAUCCAGCCAUGCCGCGUGUGUGAAGAAGGCCUUAUGGUUGUAAAGCACUUUAAGCGAGGAGGAGGCUCCCGUAGCUAAUAUCUACGGAGAGUGGACGUUACUCGCAGAAUAAGCACCGGCCAACCCU
rnacentral:rRNA from 1 species